rnacentral:rRNA from 1 species
CUACGGGACGCUGCAGUGGGGAAUAUUGCACAAUGGGGGAAACCCUGAUGCAGCAACGCCGCGUGGAGGAUGACGCAUUUCGGUGUGUAAACUCCUUUUAUAUAGGAAGAUAAUGACGGUACUAUAUGAAUAAGCACCGGCUAACUCCGUGCCAGCAGCCGCGAUAAUACGGAGGGUGCAAGCGUUACUCGGAAUCACUGGGCGUAAAGCGCGCGCAGGCGGCCUUUUAAGUUGGAUGUGAAAGCCUAUGGCUUAACCAUAGAACUGCAUCCAAAACUAUCAGGCUAGAGUCUGGGAGGGGAAGAUGGAAUUAGUUGUGUAGGGGUAAAAUCCGUAGAGAUAACUAGGAAUACCAAAAGCGAAGGCGAUCUUCUGGAACAGUACUGACGCUGAGGCGCGAAAGUGUGGGGAGCAAACAGGAUUAGAUACCCCGGUAGUC